CCAGAUACCAGAAAAUGUGCAAAAAGGCAUGACAAUCUUUGACCCGCGCGAACGACGAACAAUCUCCGCAGCUAACUGCUAUGAAAUACAGCACGGUCAAUCUCUGACCUUUACUUGUGAACCAUCUGACGUGUUUAACUUCGAGCCGAACAGAAGAAUGUUCGAGUGUGUCAAAGGAUCAUGGGUUAAUAAGAAACGCCUCGGCGUAGAUACGUAGGAUUUUGGAAACAAUGGGUCAUUCCCCGAAUGCCGAAAAGUUUUGUGUCGAGCAGAUUAUUGCAAGUUUGGUGGUUACUGCAUCCGGGAUCAUGAAUGCCAAUGUCCGGAACAAACGAGCGGGAAACAGUGUCAAAUACCCCUGUGUAAUUCUGAAUGUCAGAACGGAGGAAAGUGUGUAUCACCUGACGUGUGUCAG